GAUGAACGCUGGCGGCGUGCUUAACACAUGCAAGUCGAACGGAAAGGCGCCUACUUUCCGGGUUACUCGAUUGGCGCAGGGGGGUGAGUCACGUGUGGGAUCUGCCCUUCACUUCGGGGGAAGCCUUGGGAAAUGGGGCUAUUACCGGGGAGGACAUUUGUUUGGAUGCCAUUGUGGAAAGUUUUUUCGGUUUGGGAUGAGCUCGCGGCCUAUCAGCUUCUCGGGGGGGUAUUGGCCUACGAAGGGGGCGCCGGGUAGCCGACAUGGGAGGGGGGACGGCGUCCAUGGGACUGAGAGACGGAGCAGACUCCUACGGGAGGCAGCAGUGGAGAAUAUUGCAGAAUGGGCGCACGCCUGAUGUAGCGACGCUGCGUGGGGGAUGCUGGCUUUCGGGUGGAAAACACAUUUCGAUGGGGACGAAGAGCAAGUGACGGUACCUGGAGAAGAAGCACCGGCUAACUACGUG
rnacentral:rRNA from 1 species